GUUUCGUAUCCUUUUCUCCAAGUACACAGCCUUUUUUCCUCGAGUUUGAGAAGAUUGUCGGACUUGAGAUUUUCAGAUAUCUGAAGAAUUUUAUCGAAUCACCAGCAGAGACCUCCGGGCAACUUGGAAUGCAUCCCUUGGUAUGUGCCUCGCCUGAUAAAACCGUACCGAGCCAGAAAGCCAGCUUUUGGUCCAGAUAUGGAGAUGUUGCUGAAUAAACUUGAUGAAGAGACAACAGACAUUGUGCGUCAUCGAAGGACUGCAGCACUGAGAGGCCUUCCCAAUUUUGUUUGUGACAAUGCAUCAGACUUCUAUCAGACUAAUAUCUUCUAUUAAGUGUGUGAACACAGACCCUGAGGGAAAAAAAAAGGUGGUUAAAAGAGUGCCCGUUGCAAUACUUACCGUCUAUGAAGAUGAUGAUGCUGCCGCAUCAGCAACAGUGACUGACAUCGCUGUCAUUUUGGAAGGGGCAGUAAUACUACACGACCUACCUGACUUCGCAGCUGCCUUCGCCUGCCUGUUUAGCCUUUUGUAUGCAAUGAACAUAAACUAUCCAGAGCAGAUGAGGUACACCUUCGAGGCUAUCCAGAACAUCUUUUUCGAUCUUGGUUCAAGAUGCUCACAGCACACGCGAUCCUUGAAAGAGAAGCUGUUGCUGUGAAGCCUGUGUAUAAUUGACACUCACACGGACAUAAACACGCAUGCACACACACACAGCUCUGUCAUAACUCCACCAUGAACACACACACACAGCUCUUCUCUGCCAAUUACUACAUGGACAGGCCUGUACACACACACUGUUCUCCAACAACUUCUCCAAGAACAAGCAUGCUGCACGUGCACAGCGAGAGGAAAAAGCAGUUCUCAAGAAGCUAUGCUCCUCUGUGCUUUCUUUUAGCAGUUAAGAUAACUCAUUAAGUUCAUUGUGGGUUUAUUUUUAUAAUGUAUGUGGUUUAUGUUGUUGUUUUGUAUCUUGUAGGGCUGCACGAUAUAUCUAAAAUCUAUCAUUUUCGCGAAAUCAACGCUUGCGAUGGACAUCCCGCAAAGAUUACUACAUUUUCGAUACAUUUCGAUACAUUUUCUGUCCCAUGCGCUUUCCAUACAGUCUAUGGUGUGUUCACAUUCUGAAUGUCAACAUAUUUUACCAAACCGAUGCUGUCAUGCUGCCUUAGAAGCCCGUCGCCUACCAGUUUAGGUGUGUGGUGUUUCAGGUGUUGAGGCGGGAGCUAAGUCGUGAUGGCUGAAGAUAGUGAGUCGAGCGAGGUAGCUACACUUGGGUGAAGAUAGUGAGUCAAGGUAGCUACACUUGGGUGAAGAUAGUGAGUCGAGCGAGGUAGCUACACUUGGGUGAAGAUAGUGAGUCGAGCGAGGUAGCUACACUUGGGUGAAGAUAGUGAGUCAAGGUAGCUACACUUGGGUGAAGAUAGUGAGUCGAGCGAGGUAGCUACACUUGGGUGAAGAUAGUGAGUCAAGGUAGCUACACUUGGGUGAAGAUAGUGAGUCGAGCGAGGUAGCUACACUUGGGUGAAGAUAGUGAGUCGAGCGAGGUAGCUACACUUGGGUGAAGAUAGUGAGUGGAGUGAGGUAGCUACACUUGGGUGAAGAUAGUGAGUCGAGCGAGGUAGCUACACUUGGGUGAAGAUAGUGAGUGGAGCGAGGUAGCUACACUUGGGUGAAGAUAGUGAGCGAGGUAGCUACACUUGGGUGAAGAGGGAUUGGUGACUAAAAGGAAAAGCACGUCUGUUCUAUGGAAAUAUUUUGGUUUUAUGAAGACUGACGUGUUACAAACACAGCGCCAAAUGCGUCCUUCUCCACCGUGUUAAAAUAAACAAUUUAUUUUGUUAUCGUUCUAUCAGAAGGUAUCUGUCUUUCACUGUAAGACUUGUAUUUCAUGAUUUGCAUUUAGCAAAAGCCCCAGACAGCAGCAGAGAGGUAAUCAGGAUUCGUUAUUUGAAAAAGUUGUUUAGCCUACUUCUUAGCCUGGACUGUGUGAUUGCAGCCCAAUUACUUUCACUUUCCGCUGCCCUCGUAGUCGGCAUGCCGGUAGCCUAAUAACGUGGGAUGCGCAGCGCAUAAGGUUACAGACUGAAAUGACCGCCGCGAUAUAGCUUAAGUAACUUUUUCACUAGGCCCAUCGAAGGCUGGCAAUGUGGAAUAUUCCGCUGGUUGGUGCACAAGUGCUCAGAUUGGCUGUCUAUCCGUCUUUUACGAGGAUUUUCUUGGAGCAGAUCUUUCACACAACCUCGAUAGCCUAGUGAAGUCAGUAGGUCUCUUAGCUCGCCACUUUCAUCAGGCCAUACAUAGCCUAGGCUACAUAAUAUUUUAUAUUGUUUAUGUAGAAAAUUAUACAUUUAUUUCUGUAAUUAUACAUAUCCCCCACGCCCCCCAACCCUACAGUCUAUGCUAGUAGCAAGCAGAAUGGAGAAAAACAUUACAUACUGUUCAAAAACAUUAAGGGAACACUUCAAUCAUACACUGGAUCGGUACUCUGACACUGUUUGGUUCUGAGCACAAGUAAAACUUUUG